rnacentral:lncRNA from 1 species
AUGGCUGCCAGGGGGCGGGGACUGCGAGCGCAGAUCCCGGGCGGGGUGCCGGCUGGGAGAACUCGGUCCUCCACUGACCCAGCCGGCCACGCGCCCGCGUGUCGCCUCCCCGUCCCGCUAGCAGCACGCUGCGUGGCUGCUGGUUGGCUACUUAGGACGGAAGUUCGGUUGGUGUUUCUGCAGAGGUUUCCCCCUCGAGCGGUGGCAGAGUUUCUGAGUGCGGUAGUAGCAGCUCUGGCGGCAGCAACAGUGACUACGAGGGAUGGCGGCGGCUGCAGCAGGACCUGCAGCAUCUCAGAGGAUAUGUGA